CUCCAGGUGUAUUCAAAAUGGAUCUAACUGGCACCGGAAUGAUGUUUGUUACUCCGAUUGAUUGGAGAUACGGCGGUUACCACGGAUGUUCGGGCAACACGCCUAAUCAAUAUUCAGUGAGCUCCACAAAACAGGUGGUCAGCGGUCGUUGUGGUGGUUUCUGCGGCAGUUGUUGGGCGAGAACUUUAUCUGUGAAGCCCGAGGGAUGUUAAACGACUAAAGCCCCGGUGAAACGAGCAUAAGAGUUGAUGAGAGUUGGUAGUCACGCAUUGUUACAGGGGACAUUUCAAGCUCUAGAUUAACAAAAUAAAGGUUGGAUGAGUGUUCCAACUAUGUUUUAACUUCAAUAGAAUACAUGAUAGUGUUGGGAAAGCAUUAAG
rnacentral:lncRNA from 1 species